rnacentral:rRNA from 1 species
AUACGGAGGGUGCAAGCGUUGUUCGGAAUCACUGGGCGUAAAGGGCGCGCAGGCGGUUUGGUAAGUCAGAUGCGAAAGCCCACGGCUCAACCGUGGAAGUGCAUUUGAAACUGCCAGACUUGAGUACCAGAGGGGAAAGUGGAAUUCCCGGUGUAGAGGUGAAAUUCGUAGAUAUCGGGAGGAAUACCGGUGGCGAAGGCGACUUUCUGGCUGGAUACUGACGCUGAGGCGCGAAAGCGUGGGGAGCAAACAGGAUUAGAAACCCCGGUAGUCC